AAACAACUGCAGACGGCGGA
rnacentral:rRNA from 1 species